ensembl:lncRNA
CAGUUUGCUGUGGGUGAAAGUCCACUGUAGAUUACAAACACACCGCAUUGGGAUUUUUUUUUUACACCGAACACCGUAUCUUCAAGGAAUCCCCCCAUAAUUUCAGAUGGAACCUGCAGCAAGGAGAUGAGCCAGCUGGUUCAGGCUUCAGCACAGAGCGAGAGAGACUUCCAGUGUCUGUUGGCGUGUAUGUGCUAGAGAGUAUAUAUGUAUGUGUGUGUGUGUCUGCCGAGAGGAGAGAAGACUGCCUUCCAGCAGUGUGUGUGGGGGCAAUUGUGUUUCUUUGCUUGAGCUGGUGUGAGUGUGUGAGUUCUUUACUCCGAAUAGUAGAAGAAUGGCAGCUCGCUAGUGUGUGUUUAUGUGAAUGCAUGUGCAUGAGUGUGUGUUUUCCUGAGUGAGAGUGUGUUGUUUCCACCUCUCUGAGGAGUACUAGGAGGGCAGCUCUCUCCCCCUGGCUGGGUGUGUGUGUGGAGAUGGCAGUGUGUGUAUGUACUACCCUGCCCGCACUGCUCCUGCUCCUGAGCUGCGGUGUGUGUGUGACGGUGGGAUACCCAUUCAGACCCCCCAUAGACCUGGAUGUCACCCCCAGAAUCACCAUAACUACCAGCGAGCUUCUGGACAUGAAAACAGACAUCACUAACCUUGAUUAAGACAGGGACACUUCUACUUCAGUGAGUCGGAGGCUAAAUACAUAUAGAUUUUUCCGGACAAAGCCCAAAUCCCCGACACUCGAAGAAGGAGAUGGCGCUAUAGAGUCCGGUGCGCAGGCACCCUGAUGAGAUAUGGUGGUGAGGGAAUAAAUCGCCUCUAUUCUCUGUUAUAUUGGCGAAUGUGCAAUCACUUGAGAAUAAACUAGACAAACUCCAUUUGAGACUAUCCUAUCAAUGGGACAUUAAGAAUUGUAAUAUACUAUGCUUCUCAGAGUCAUGACUGAACAAGGACAUGGAUAAUAUACAUGUUGACAGAAUGAGAGUCUGGUA